CCUACGUGUGGCAGCAGUGGGGAAUAUUGGACAAUGGGCGAAAGCCUGAUCCAGCCAUGCCGCGUGUGUGAAGAAGGCCUUCGGGUUGUAAAGCACUUUCAGUGGGGAAGAAAGCCUUGGGGCUAAUACCCUCGAGGAAGGACAUCACCCACAGAAGAAGCACCGGCUAACUCCGUGCCAGCAGCCGCGGUAAUACGGAGGGUGCGAGCGUUAAUCGGAAUUACUGGGCGUAAAGCGCGCGUAGGCGGUCUGAUAAGCCGGUUGUGAAAGCCCCGGGCUCAACCUGGGAACGGCAUCCGGAACUGUCAGGCUAGAGUGCAGGAGAGGAAGGUAGAAUUCCCGGUGUAGCGGUGAAAUGCGUAGAGAUCGGGAGGAAUACCAGUGGCGAAGGCGGCCUUCUGGACUGACACUGACGCUGAGGUGCGAAAGCGUGGGUAGCAAACAGGAUUAGAUACCCCGUAGUC
rnacentral:rRNA from 1 species